ACGCUCGACACCUACGGGAGGAGCAGUGGGGAAUAUUGCACAAUGGGGGAAACCCUGAUGCAGCGACGCCGCGUGAGCGAAGAAGUAUUUCGGUAUGUAAAGCUCUAUCAGCAGGGAAGAAACUGACGGUACCUGACUAAGAAGCACCGGCUAAAUACGUGCUAGCAGCCGCGGUAAUCUGAGCGGGCUGGCAAGGC
rnacentral:rRNA from 1 species